UACGUAGGGGGCGAGCGUUGUCCGGAUUUAUUGGGCGUAAAGAGCUCGUAGGCGGUUUGGCAAGUCGGGUGUGAAAACUCCGGGCUCAACUCGGAGACGCCACUCGAUACUGCCAUGACUCGAGUCCGGUAGGGGAGUGCGGAAUUCCUGGUGUAGCGGUGAAAUGCGCAGAUAUCUGGAGGAACACCGGUGGCGAAGGCGGCAUCCUGGACCAUUACUGACGCUGAGGAGCGAAAGCCAGGGGAGCAAACGGG
rnacentral:rRNA from 1 species